GCCUGGGUGGCUCAGUCGGUUAAGCACCAGACUUCAGCUCAGGUCAGGAUCUCGCAUUUCGUGGGUUCAAGCCCCACAUCGGACU
rnacentral:tRNA from 1 species